GAUGAAGAACGCAGCGAAAUGCGAUAAGUAAUGUGAAUUGCAGAAUUCAGUGAAUCAUCGAAUCUUUGAACGCACAUUGCGCCCGCCAGUAUUCUGGCGGGCAUGCCUGUUCGAGCGUCAUUACAACCCUCAGGCCCCCGGGCCUGGCGUUGGGGAUCGGCGGAGCGCCCCCUGCGGGCACACGCCGUCCCCCAAAUACAGUGGCGGUCCCGCCGCAGCUUCCAUUGCGUAGUAGCUAACACCUCGCAACUGGAGAGCGGCGCGGCCACGCCGUAAAACACCCAACUUCUGAAUGUUGACCUCGAAUCAGGUAGGAAUACCCGCUGAACUUAAGCAUAUCAAUAAGCGGAGGA
rnacentral:misc_RNA from 1 species